rnacentral:lncRNA from 10 species
CAGCUGAGUCAUUAAUGCAGAGAAAAAGUUCUUGAAAAAAAAAAGUGCUGUUCUCUUUCAGUGAAUACAUAAAUAAGAAGACAAACAGCCUUAUUGCUGAUAUAAAGAAAGUUUGAGUGGUCUAGGUAGAAGACUAAACCAGCCAUAACAUUCCCUUAAGUCAAAGCCUAAUCCAGAGAAAGGCCCUAACUCUACAAUUCUACGAUGGCUAAGAAAGGUAAAGAAGCUGCAGAAGAACAAUUUGAAGCCAGCAGAGGUUUGUUCAUGAGGUUUAUGGAAAGAAGCCAUCUCCAUAACAUAAAAGUGCAAGAUGAAGCAGCAAAUGCAAAGUAGAAGCUGCACCAAGUUAUCCAGAAGAUCUAGCUAAGAUUAUUGAUGAAGCAGGCUAUCCUAGACAACAGAUUUUCAAUGUCGACAAAACAGCUUUCUAUUGCAAGAAGAUGCCAUCUGGGACUUUCAUAGCUAGAGAGGAGAAGUAAAUGUCUGAGCUUCAAAUCUUCAAAAGACAGGCUGAUUCUCUUUUUAGGGGCUAAUGCAACUGAUGACUUUAAGCUGAAAUGAAUGCUCAUUUAUUACCCCAAAAUCCUAGAGCCCUUAUGAUAUGGUUUGGCUGUGUCCCCAUCCAAAUCUCAUCUUGAAUUCCCACAUGUUGUAGGAGGGAACCAGUGGGAGGUAAUUGAAUCAUGGGGGCAGGUCUUUCCCAUGAUGUUCUCGUGAUAGUGAAUAAGUCUCAUGAGAGGUGAUGGUUUUAAAAAGAGGAAUUUCCCUGCACAAGCUCUCUUCUCUUGUCUGCCACCAUGUGAGGCAUGCCUUUCACCUUCCACCAUGAUUGUGAGGCCUCCUCAGCCAUGUGGAACUGUAAGUCCAUUAAACCUCUUUCUUUUGUAAAUUGCCCAGUCUUGAGUAUGUCCUUAUCAGCAGCAUGAGAACAGACUAAUACACCUUAGGAAGUAUGCUAAAUCAACUCUGCCUAUGCUCCAUAAGUGAAACAAAAAGCCUGGAUGACAGCAUAUCUGUUGUAAGCAUGGUUUAUUGAAUAUUUUAAGCCCAUUGUUGAGGACUAUCACUCAGAAAAAAAUUCCUUUCAAAUAUUACUGCUCAUUGACAAUGCACCUAGUCACCCAAGAGCUCUAAUGGUGAUGUACAAGAUUAAUCUUGUUUUCAUGCCUGCCAACACAACAUCUAUUCUGCAUCCCAUGGAUCAAGGAGUCAUGUUGACUCCCAAGUUUCAUUAUUUAAGAAAUACAUUUUGCAAGGCUAUAGCUGCCAUGGAUAGUGAUUCCUAUGAUGGACCUGGGGAAAGGAGCCUAGACUGGGAGCUGCUAAUGAGCGUGCUGGAGAGAGUGUCCAAACCAAUGCAGGCUGGAGACAAUUCACCUGUCUGCUUUCAGAUCCAGGGUUGAAAACUGCAAUUUGUUAUAAUAUGUGGAAGAAAAACAACUGACAAAGACCAUCUCUGUCAAUCACAUUGUGGAACACUAUGCUUCCCUCAGGAUGGUCUCCUGCAUAUGCAGCAAAUGACCCUCUUCCACAUGGACAAGUUACAAUCUCUAUUAAAUAAUAAUUUCUGUCUGUUUAUUAAAUUAAAAUGAAUUUCACUAUAAGGUUUUAUAUUUUUCCAUGUCUUAGUAAAAUGACUUGUCUGGGAGGCCAGCAUUCCCAACAACAACAGGAUGGAGUGAGAAUACAUAGGAAAGCUAGCAAUCUAAAUAAAAUUUUAUUAUCAAACAUGAAAGUGAUAAUGGAGACAUUACAAGAAUUAGAAUUUAUUAAGGUAUUUGUUCCCUUAUGCCUUCUACUUGAAGGUAGUCAAAAAUCCAUUGAACAUUGUUGGAAACAUUAAGAGAAUUUGGUGUAUUGGCUGAUUAUAAAGUCAGUGUACAAAAGUCAAUAGAUUUUUUUAAUAUUGCAGAUAUAUUGGAUCAAAAAACAUAACGACUGAUUGUCAUUUUUAAUAUUAACAUAAAGAUAUAACAGCAAGAAGUAAGUCUAAAAAGAAGUGUGUAAGAUCUAUAUGAACAACACUAACAUGUUCUGAGAGACAUAAAAAUUAAACAAAGAGCUAUGCAAUUCUUGGAUAUGAAUACAGGUAUACAGAAAUAUGGAAAUAGUGGUUGCCUCUUGGAAGAGGAACUCAGUCAGAGAUGGGAAUUUUCAAUGUAUGCCUUAUUGACUCUCUAAACUUUUUAAGCCAUCUGCAAUUAUUAUUUUCAAACAAAUAUUAAAAUAGCUUAUACUUGUGCUGUACUCAUACUACGUGACAUGCAGUAUUGUAAGUACUUUACAUGUAUAAACUUAUUUAAACCUCAAUGCAACUCCCUGAGAUGAAUACCAUCAUUCUUAUUUUAUAGGUUAGGAAACUGAUGCACACAUAGCUUAUGUAAUUUGUCAAAGGUCACACAGUUAGUGGCUGGGACUUUUUACUCAAGCAGUCUGAUAAAAGGUCCAAGUUCUAAG